GGAAAUUCUGUCUUCUUUAUAAGCGACUGAAGAAAGAGCAAGCUCCCAAUUGCCGACUCUCCUCAAGCUUCAUCAUAACAAAUUGAGUCAGCCAUAAGAAUCGUUACAUAAUAAGGCGUUAUAUUCUUAUGGGUGGCGGUGAACACCCACGCUGUCGGUCGGUGUGGAAUUUCCAGGAUUCGGAUCUGGUGACGAUUGGAUCAGGACUUGCAUGCAGCUUUCUCCCAUAUGUGCAUUUAGCGGGUUUGGGAAAUACAAGACUAAAGUUAACUAAGUAGAGUUUUUGCUCCCAGCAUAAAAAUCAAGGCUUCUCAAAGUCCAAAGCGUCGUCUCCGUUGUGAGGCUGGCCAACAUGGCUCUGGUGAAGCUGUAUAAGCCCAUCCCAGGUACAGUGGGUACAAUGGAUUACAGAAACUUUGAUGGACUCCAACCAUACCAUUGACUUUGGAUGAUGGAGAUGGGAGGUCAAUGGCCUAUGCUCCACUGGGAGCUAGGGGCCCAAGAAAAAAAAGAAUAAAAACUAAGACCUCUUUUAACAGGUCAUAUUAUCUACUUGAGAUCAUGAAUGAGCACUCUGAAGUCCACUUUCCCCACCUCAAUGAAUUCCAUUCAAUGUUCAUUUAAUUAAAAUUAAUAAAAUAUUUACGCAAGAGAUAAUAUAUGUACCCAUUUUUACAGAACAUAAAUGUACUGAUUUUAAAGGCAACUCCAGAAUACAAACUAUGUGCAAUAAAUAUUAUAUUUUUACAACAUGUUUCACCCAAGUUACUUUUGAUCAUUUAUUGUUUACUUCUGAAAUGUUUGAGUUGAUGUUUAACACUUCCUGAGAAUCACUAGUUGCUGUCAUCAUCAGUCUCAAUAAAAGACUAGUUAAAUUCAAAGAUGUUCUGUCUGUGGUAGACUAAACUCCCUAGCACUUCUCAUUCUCAUGAAACAACAUCAAAAAUAGGUGCUGGGAUCACUGCAAAAGAACUAAGAGUGCAUAGAAACCGAUAAAUAUUAUAUACUCCCCCUUUAAAUAUGUGCAUGGGAUAUUUUAUGCAAGUAUCUAUAGCUCUGAGAAGUGCAAAAUACUGAAUAUGUAAUUGCUACAGAAUUUAGUAUAGGUCAAGUUCAGAAUUAACUCCAGACAAAAAUAAAAUAAUCAACAGAAUGGAUUUUUUGAUCAACACUAAAGCAGCAGUGCUUGCUCCUUCAGGGCUGAAUGGAGUACACUUCCCCUCAUCUGGUACAAGCUCUCAUUAAAUGGAUUGUGUUGAAGAUUUGUCACAUUCAGCAGAGUAUAGAGGCUGAAAUAUCACAAGUAAUCAAAUAAAAUUAUAUUUACGAUUUAUUUUAAAAUCCAUGAAUUUAAAGUUAGAUUUUCAGAACUAAGAGGUAUUUCAGCAAUAAUUAUGGAUUUUUCUUAUUCAUAAUGCAAUUUGACGCACAUUUAACUGGCAAUUCUAAUUACCCUACUGUUGAGUGUUCAGUUAAACUCUAUUCAUUAGGGACUUACAUUUUAUUGGUCUUACACUAAGAGGAACAUAAAAAAGCUCACAUCAAAUUAAUGAUUUAGCUUUGAGACCUCCAACAUGGCCAUGACAAGCAGUAGCAAGGGAACCUCCGAACUUCUGUGUUUAAUUGCAUGCAGGUGAACAUCAGAAGCUGCUGUUAGCGAUGGUGGUGAAUGCUGGAAGUUAUACUCUUGUUCCAUCUACAAACUCUGGGCCAAUUUCAUCUGGGGGGGGCAGAAGAAAAGCUCUACAAUGGAUAUUUUCAAGCAUUACUAAGUGGGAAUGUAUAACAUACAGAUACUUCAGCCAGUAAUUUGUCUUCAGAGAAUGUUAUUAUUAAAGGUUAUUUGACUCAAAUAACACUGGUAAUCUAUAAUUGUAUUAGGUAAGCAGUGGAAAGAAGCAUGGUUAUCAUAAUUUAAAUUACUACAACUGUUCCCCACAAACUGUGAACCCUUUAUACCCAAACACUAAAUUAAUUUUAGU